rnacentral:rRNA from 1 species
UACGGGGGGGGUAAGCGUUGUUCGGAAUUACUGGGCGUAAAGGGCUCGUAGGCGGCCAACUAAGUCGGACGUGAAAUCCCUCAGCUUAACUGGGGAACUGCGUCCGAUACUGGAUGGCUUGGAUUUGGGAGAGGGAUGCGGAAUUCCAGGUGUAGCGGUGAAAUGCGUAGAUAUCUGGAGGAACACCGGUGGCGAAGGCGGGUCUCUGGGCCGAUACUGACGCUGAGGCGCGAAAGCGUGGGUAGCAAACAGG